GCCCUUGUAGUAUAAAUCAGUACACUGGUCUUGUAAACCAGAAAUGGAGCACCUCCCCAGGGUA
rnacentral:tRNA from 1 species